rnacentral:lncRNA from 1 species
ACCACUUUAUUAUUAAUCGAAUAAGUUCUGAAUAAAUAUUAUUCAGUACUGAAUAUCACACCAUAAGUUUUGAAUAAUGUUGACAUCCAUGUGAAUACAUACGAUAUAACAUCUGAAUAUUAUCAUAUUACUACGCAGUCAGAGCUGACCAAGGGCGCCAGAGCUGGAAAUCACCAAGGGCGCCAGAGCUGAAAAUCACCAGAAGAGAUUUGGAGCUAUGAAGUAUGAACGUGUGCUACAAUAUAAACGAAAUCAAGAAUAUCAUAAAACUAACUCAAAUCCAAAGAAUAAAGCAAUAGAGUCGCCGAAUAUCAUAAAUCUAAGCCACAAAAGAAAAUUACAAGAAACUAACAAAUUUAUAAAAAAAAAAAACAGAAUCAAAUACAAAGGAAUAAGAUAUAAAGCAACUGAAUCAAAUUCAUUCAACUAAAACCUCUGGAGUUCCAAAUUCAGACAUAAGAAUCAAAUAUUACAAUUUUACCACAUGAAUCAAUCACAAACAUGUGAGUACUAUAUAAUGUUCGAAAGUUCCAUUAAAAUCCAUUAUCUGGGACCCUCAAUACUAAUCUAAUACUUUAAAUUCAUAUAAAACAUCACCAUAUAAAACCAAUCUUUGGUUUCUUCAUAUAAAAACCUAGUUCUCCUAUGCGAAAGUUAAUAUCAGCAAACACAAUCGAAUUUUUUCAUAAAAAUCUAACAAAUUUCAGAUAUGUUUCAAUAUAUUCGAAAUUUCACAGUGUUAUGAACUAAUGUUUUUUCGGAACUCACCUUCUUCGAUGUCGAGUUCCGUUUGCCCAGAAAUUGAACAAAACCCAGUUCUUCUUCGAUUCCGCAGGGGUAUUCUUCACAGUAUUGCGAUUCUUUGUGGAGAAGAUAUGAGUCAUCUGAGAUUCAACCUUGUUCUACACAUGAAUCAUCGUGAAGAUUUGGCAGAGGGAAAGUCGGAAAUCAUGGAAACUUCCAGAUUUACUGAGAGUAUGUAUUUUACGGUUUUCACCCUUCGACAGUAAAAAUCGAUGGUUUUAAUGUGAACGCGUUUUCAUUUUGUUUUGUUUUUAUUCGUUUUAUUUGUAGCCAUUGGAUUAGUUAGAUCUAACGCUAGGAAUCCAUUCUUUAUUCUCUAUUAAGGCUUAAUUCUCCAUAGAUCCCAC